GAUUAAGCCAUGCAUGUGUAAGUGUAAAUGUUUAAGUUUGGAACUGCGAAUGGCUCAUUAUAUCAGUUAUAGUUUAUUUGGUGAAGUGUACUACUUGGAUAACCGUAGUAAUUCUAGGGCUAAUACAUGAGAAAGUCCUCUGGUGAGGUGUGUUUAUUAGAAUGAAAACCAUAUGCUUCGGCAUGAUAGUGAGUAAUAGUAACCUAUCGUAUCGCAUGCUUAAUGUAGCGAUGAGUCUUUCAAGUUUCUGCCCUAUCAGCUUUCGAUGGUAGUAUAUGGACCUACCAUG
rnacentral:rRNA from 1 species